ACACGACUACAUUAGAUACCCCCGUAGUCCUAGCCGUAAACGAUACUCGCUAGGUGUCGGCCACGGUGCGACCGUUGUCGGUGCCGUAGGGAAGCCGUGAAGCGAGCCACCUGGGAAGUACGGCCGCAAGGCUGAAACUUAAAGGAAUUGGCGGGGAGCACAACAACGGGUGGGAGCUUGCGGUUUAAUUGGAUUCAACGCCGGAAAUCUUACCGGGACCGACAGCAACAUGAAGGCCAAGCUGAAGACUUUGCCGGAUUAGCUG
rnacentral:rRNA from 1 species